GGCAGAAUGGCCGAGUGGUUAUGGCGGAGGGUUCAAGCUUAUCAACUUACCUAAUGGAAAACUUGGGUACGCUUUCCUCUGGAGCAAUCCGCAGGGGUUCGAAUCCCCUUUCUGUCA